GGAAUUUAAAAGUCUGGGAACCACUAAGCCAACAUCCUAUCUAAAGUUCUGAGACUUAUUAAGGUAUUAAAGUAACAGUUUUAUUUUGAGAUUUAGCUUGUGUUAUAUGGAAUUUUUCAUUAGCACAAUGUGUUGAGGUGAGACUUCAUGGAAAGUUACUGUAAAAAACAAAAAAAAGUCCUUACUUCCAUUCAGUUUACCAUCAUGGAUCCAAACUAAGGGUAAAGCCAAUACAUCCUAAUAUGUGCCCAACCCAUAACUUUAAAUGAUUAAAUGAAACACACAACAGGGAGAUCUAUUGUUAAUGUGUUAACCAAAAUUGCCAGGAAUUGCCCUAAAGGGGAAAAAUUGUUUAAUCAGUAAAUCAGUGAGGAAAUACAAGAUUAUAAAUUAGAAGUGUUGCUAUGGUGUUAGCUCUUACAUCCCUGAACAACAAAAAAGACAGUUCAACCCCAAGCAUGGAACAGAAAAAUGCUGAGCUUAGAAUGUUGUCAGCUAGAUAUUGUGUAAAAUAGAUGUUCUCUUUAAUACCUGUGUCUCUGUGGAUAAUGUAUUUCUAGUUCUUCCAUCCUGUCCCUUACAGAUAACCAGAAGUCAAUUCAUGUUAAUAUUUUGUUCUUUAAUUGUGACAUCGUUUUCAUUUGUAAAUAUGCAGCAUUAUGUAGAUUCCCAGCUUUUUCAUUUAAAAUAAUUUCGAGCAUUGCCCACCUGCCUGAAUGCUCAUUACUGGGAGGUAAAUAAUUUUUCUGCUGGUGAUACUGCCUGCCAACAAUUUCAUAAGCAGUGGUUUAUCUAACUCAUUAUACAAGAUCGACAUGAGAUACAGACGAGAGAUUAUGUCUCUUAUGGCUUUAUCAUCAAUUAAACUUAGCAAAGUCUGUUAAAUUUAUUUCAGAGUCUCCCAG
rnacentral:lncRNA from 10 species